rnacentral:rRNA from 1 species
GCAAGUGGUAGGAAGCCGAAACGGUGACGACCCUCGGGAGCUUGCACAGGUGCUGCAUGGCUGUCGUCAGCUCGUGUCGUGAGAUGUUCGGUUAAGUCCGCUAACGAGCGCAACCCUCGCUGUGUGUUAUAUGUGUCACACGGGACUGCCGGUCUUAAGCCGGAGGAAGGUGGGAUGAUGUCAAGUCAGCAUGGCCUUUAUAUCCUGGGCUACACACACGCUACAAUGGCCAACACAAUAGGUUGCUAAGCCGCGAGGUGGCGCCAAUCCAUAAAGUUGGUCUCAGUUCAGAUUGUAGGCUGCAACCCGCCUGCAUGAAGAUGGAGUUGCUAGUAACCGCAGGUCAGCUAUACUGCGGUGAAUACGUUCCCGGGGCUU